GGGAGCAAACAGGAUUAGAUACCCUGGUAGUCCACGUUUUACCCCUUGCAAACUAGUUGUUGCGAUGCUCGACAUCGCAGUAAUGCAGUUAACACAUUAAGUGUGCCGCCUGGGGAGUACGGUCGCAAGAUUAAAACUCAAAGGAAUAGACGGGGACCCGCACAAGCGGUGGAGCAUGUGGUUUAAUUCGACGAUACGCGAAGAACCUUACCUGGCCUUGACAUAGACAGAACAUAACAGAGAUGUAUUGGUGCUAGUUUACUAGAGCUGUCAUACAGGUGCUGCACGGCUGUCGUCAGCUCGUGUCGUGAGAUGUUGGGUUAAGUCCCGCAACGAGCGCAACCCUCGUGUCUAGUUGCUAACAGUUAGGCUGAGAACUCUAGACAGACUGCCUGGGUAACCAGGAGGAAGGUGAGGACGACGUCAAGUCAUCAUGGCCCUUACGGCCAGGGCUACACACGUGCUACAAUGGGGGAUACAAAGAGCUGCAAUACCGCGAGGUGGAGCAAAUCUCAAAAAUCUCUCCCAGUUCGGAUUGUUCUCUGCAACUCGAGAACAUGAAGUUGGAAUCGCUAGUAAUCGUAGAUCAGCAAUGCUACGGUGAAUACCUUCCCGGGUCUUGUACUCACCGCCCGUCACACCAUGGGAGUUGAAUUCAUUCGAAGCGGGGAUGCUAAAGUAGCUACCUUCCACAGUGGAUUUAGUAACUAGGGUGAAGUCGUAACAAGGUA
rnacentral:rRNA from 1 species